rnacentral:rRNA from 1 species
UACAGAGACCUCAAGCGUUAUCCGGAAUCAUUGGGCGUAAAGCGUACCGAUAGGUGGUUUUACAAGUCAGAAGUGAAAUCUCUCAGCUUAACUGGGAGACUGUCUUUUGAAACUGUAAAACUAGAGGAACAAAGAGGAAGCUGGAACGAACGGUGUAGUAGUGAAAUGCGUUGAUAUCGUUGGAACACCAAUAGCGUAGGCAGCUUCUGGGUGUUUCCUGACACUGCUAGGACGAAAGCGUGGGGAGCGAUAAGG